rnacentral:rRNA from 1 species
AACGAACGCUGGCGGCAGGCUUAACACAUGCAAGUCGAACGCCCCGCAAGGGGAGUGGCAGACGGGUGAGUAACACGUGGGAACCUUCCUCGAUGUACGGAACAACUCAGGGAAACUUGAGCUAAUACCGUAUACGUCCGAGAGGAGAAAGAUUUAUCGCAUGGAGACGGGCCCGCGUCGGAUUAGCUAGUUGGUAAGGUAACGGCUUACCAAGGCAACGAUCCGUAGCUGAUCUGAGAGGAUGAUCAGCCACACUGGGACUGAGACACGGCCCAGACUCCUACGGGAGGCAGCAGCGGGGAAUCUUGGACAAUGGGCGCAAGCCUGAUCCAGCCAUGCCGCGUGAGUGAAGAAGGCCGUCGGGUUGUAAAGCUCUUUUGUCAGGGACGAUAAUGACGGUACCUGAAGAAUAAGCCCCGGCAAACUUCGUGCCAGCCGCCGCCGUAA